rnacentral:rRNA from 1 species
CCCUUAGAUGUCCUGGGCCGCACGCGCGCUACACUGAUGCAUGCAACGAGUUUAUAACCUUGGCCUGAAAGGUCUGGGUAAUCUUUUGAACGUGCAUCGUGAUAGGGAUAGAUUAUUGCAAUUGUUAAUCUUGAACGAGGAAUUCCUAGUAAGCACAAGUCAUCAGCUUGUGUUGAUUACGUCCCUGCCCUUUGUACACACCGCCCGUCGCUCCUACCGAUUGAAUGUUCCGGUGAGCUCUUCGGACUGCGCGGUCUGCAGUUUCUGCGUUCCGUGCGGAAAGUUGCGCAAACCUUAACAUUUAGAGGAAGGAGAAGUCGUAACA